rnacentral:rRNA from 1 species
UGCCAGCCGCCGCGGUAAUACCGGCGCCUCAAGUGGUAGUCGCUUUUAUUGGGCCUAAAACGUCCGUAGCCGGCUCUGUAAGUUUUCGGUUAAAUCUGUACGCUCAACUCUGAGACGUCGGGGGAUACUGCUGAACUUGAGACUGUCAGAGGCAGGUGGAAUUCCCGGUGUAGUGGUGAAAUGCGUAGAUAUCGGGAGGAACACCAGUGGCGUAAGCGGCCUGCUGGGACAGUUCUGACGCUGAGGGACGAAAGCGUGGGGAGCAAACCGGAUUAGAUA